rnacentral:rRNA from 1 species
UACAGAGGGUGCAAGCGUUAAUCGGAAUUACUGGGCGUAAAGCGCGCGUAGGUGGUUCGUUAAGUUGGAUGUGAAAUCCCCGGGCUCAACCUGGGAACUGCAUUCAAAACUGACGAGCUAGAGUAUGGUAGAGGGUGGUGGAAUUUCCUGUGUAGCGGUGAAAUGCGUAGAUAUAGGAAGGAACACCAGUGGCGAAGGCGACCACCUGGACUGAUACUGACACUGAGGUGCGAAAACGUGGGGAGCAAACAGG